rnacentral:rRNA from 1 species
GAUGAACGCUGGCGGCGUGCCUAAUACAUGCAAGUCGAGCGAACAGACGAGGAGCUUGCUCCUCUGACGUUAGCGGCGGACGGGUGAGUAACACGUGGAUAACCUACCUAUAAGACUGGGAUAACUUCGGGAAACCGGAGCUAAUACCGGAUAAUAUAUUGAACCGCAUGGUUCAAUAGUGAAAGACGGUUUUGCUGUCACUUAUAGAUGGAUCCGCGCCGCAUUAGCUAGUUGGUAAGGUAACGGCUUACCAAGGCAACGAUGCGUAGCCGACCUGAGAGGGUGAUCGGCCACACUGGAACGGAGACACGGUCCAGACGCCUACGGGAGGCAGCAGUAGGGAAUCUUCCGCAAUGGGCGAAAGCUUGACGGAGCAACGCCGCGUGAGUGAUGAAGGUCUUCGGAUCGUAAAACUCUGUUAUUAGGGAAGAACAAAUGUGUAAGUAACUAUGCACGUCUUGACGGUACCUAAUCAGAAAGCCACGGCUAACUACGUG